rnacentral:rRNA from 1 species
GAUGAACGCUGGCGGCUUGCUUAAAACAUGAAGGUCAGGCGACGGAACAGGAGGUUUCCUUUCUGAUGGUUGCGGCGGGCGGGUUGGGAAACACUUGGAAAACCACCUUUAAAGCCUGGGAAACCUCGGGGAACCCGGGGCUAAUACCGGAGAUUAUUUGGACCCCCAUGUUUAAAAGGUAAAGAACGGUUUUGCGUUAACUUAUGAAGGGUUCCGCGCUGUAUUAGCUAGUUGGUAAGGUAACGGCUUACCAAGGCAACGAUGCAUAGCCGACCUGAGAGGGUGAUCGGCCACACUGGAACUGAGACACGGUCCAGACUCCUACGGGAGGCAGCAGUAGGGAAGCUUCCGCAAUGGGCGAAAGCCUGACGGAGCAACGCCGCGUGAGUGAUGAAGGUCUUCGGAUCGUAAAACUCUGUUAUUAGGGAAGAACAUAUGUGUAAGUAACUGUGCACAUCUUGACGGUACCUAAUCAGAAAGCCACGGCUAACUACGU